GUAAAGAGCUCGUAGGUGGUUUGUCGCGUUGUUCGUGAAAUCUCACGGCUUAACUGUGAGCGUGCGGGCGAUACGGGCAGACUUGAGUACUGCAGGGGAGACUGGAAUUCCUGGUGUAGCGGUGGAAUGCGCAGAUAUCAGGAGGAACACCGGUGGCGAAGGCGGGUCUCUGGGCAGUAACUGACGCUGAGGAGCGAAAGCGUGGGGAGCGAACAGGAUUAGAUACCCUGGUAGUCCACGCCGUAAACGGUGGGUACUAGGUGUGGGUUUCCUUCCUUGGGAUCCGUGCCGUAGCUAACGCAUUAAGUACCCCGCCUGGGGAGUACGGCCGCAAGGCUAAAACUCAAAGAAAUUGACGGGGGCCCGCACGAGCGGCGGAGCAUGUGGAUUAAUUCGAUGCAACGCGAAGAACCUUACCUGGGUUUGACAUGCACAGGACGCCGGCAGAGAUGUCGGUUCCCUUGUGGCCUGUGUGCAGGUGGUGCAUGGCUGUCGUCAGCUCGUGUCGUGAGAUGUUGGGUCAAGUCCCGCAACGAGCGCAACCCUUGUCUCAUGUUGCCAGCGGGUAAUGCCGGGGACUCGUGAGAGACUGCCGGGGUCAACUCGGAGGAAGGUGGGGAUGACGUCAAGUCAUCAUGCCCCUUAUGUCCAGGGCUUCACACAUGCUACAAUGGCCGGUACAAAGGGCUGCGAUGCCGCGAGGUUAAGCGAAUCCUUUUAAAGCCGGUCUCAGUUCGGAUCGGGGUCUGCAACUCGACCCCGUGAAGUCGGAGUCGCUAG
rnacentral:rRNA from 1 species